AACAGAUGAAGGGGUUCGAUUCUGGCUCAGAUUGAACGCUGGCGGGAUACUUCCGCCUGCAGUCGAACGGCAGCCUGGACCGGUCUGGUGGCGGUGAACGGGUGAGUAAUGUAUCGCGAACGUGCCUAGUAGCGGGGGAUAACUACGCGAAAGCGUAGCCUAAUACCACGCCGCCCUUCCAGGGAAAGCAGGACCUUCCAGACACUCGCACUGAUAGAGCGGCCGAUAUCGGAUUAGCUAGUUGGUGGGAGGUAACGGCUCACAAAGGCGACGAUCCGUAGCUGGUUUGAGAGGACGACUGUAGCCACACUGGGACUGAGACGGCCCAGACUCCUACAGGAGGCAGCAGUGGGGAAUUUACGGACCAUCGGCGAAACCCCUGAUCCAGCCAUCCCGCGUGUGCGAUGAAGGCCUUCGGGUUGCUAAAGCACUUUUGGCAGGAAAGAAACGGCGGGAUAAUACGUGCAGCUGACCAACCUGCAAGAAUGGCACCAGCUAACUACGUGCAGCCAGCCGCGGUAAUAAGCCCAGUGCACGAAGCGUUAAUCGGAAUUGCUGGGCGAUAGCAUUGCAGCGGUUCGGAAAGAAAGAUCAUAAUCUGGAAGCUUAACUUUGGAACUGCAUUUUUAACUACCGAGCCACGAAGAGUGUCUUCAGAGGAGGUGGAAUUCCGCGAUAACAGCAGUGAAAUGCAUCGAUAUGCGGAGAACGCGAUAGCGAAGGCAGCCUCUCCUGAAGGACCCUUGCGACGCUCAUGCGACGUGGAGCAAACAGGAUUGAAUACCUGGUAGUCCACGCCUAAACUGAUGUCAACUAGCUGUUGUGACCCUUCGAACUGCCUUGGUAGCGCAAUAACGCGGCGAAGUUGACCGCCUGGGAGAGUACGGUCAUAAGAUUAAAACUCGAAAAGAUUGACCUGGGGACUCACUGAAAGCGGUGGAUGAUGUGGAUUAAUUCGAUGCAACGCGAAAAACCUUACCUACCUCAACAUAUCCCAGUCCAGUUGGAGUGCGCAAGAGAACCAGGAACACGUUGCUGCAGCUGUGUCGUCGACGUGUCGUGAGAUAUUUGGGUUAAAUCCGCAACGAGCACGCAACCCAUACUAAUCAUUAGUUAUACGAAAGGGCACUCGUAGGACUGCCCUGAUGACAAACCGGAGGAAGGUGGGGAUGACAUCGAAUCCUCAUGGCCCUUAUGGGUAGGGCUUCGCACGUCAUACAAUGGUCCGGGACAGAGGUCGCCAACCCGCGAGGGGAGCCAAUCCCAACCGAUCGUAGUCCGGAUCGCAGUCUGCAAACUCUUGCGUAAGUCAGAAUCGCUAGUAAUCGCGGAUCAGCAUGUCGCGGGUGAAUACGUUCCCAGGUCUUGUACACACCGCCCGUUACACCAUAGGUGGGUUUACCAGAAGUAGUUAGCCUAACCGUAAGGGCGAUUACCACAGUAGGAUUCAUGACUAGGGGUGAAGUCGUAACAAGGUA
rnacentral:rRNA from 1 species